AUGUUGAAGGUUGUUGAAAUAAGCAUUCUUGGACUUUGGAUCAAAGAGUUUGUUACAAAAUUGAAAGGAAUCGGUUUAUGGUUGAUUCUGAAUUGUGAAGUCUGGGAUGAAAUGAGGUAUUAUUGCGAGCUGGACAUGGGCUUGUCUUGCGUUGGUCUUAUUCAGACAUGGUGUAGGACAAUAGCAGAUUUUGCAAGGAACCGGACGGUUUUGGUUUCUGGAAUGCUAAAGGAUAUGGUGUUCUGUUUCUAUUUUGCGUGCUUAUACAAGAUCCCAUAUGGCUUGUUGAGAAUUGGCACAUGGAGGAAGCAUGUCAUUUUUGGAAAUCCUUAA